GAAGAGGAGCUUGCUCCUUUGGCGUCGAGCGGCGGACGGGUGAGUAAUGCUUGGGAAUGUGCCUUAUGGUGGGGGACAACAGUUGGAAACGACUGCUAAUACCGCAUAAUGUCUUCGGACCAAAGUGGGGGACCUUCGGGCCUCACGCCAUAAGAUCAGCCCAAGUGGGAUUAGCUAGUUGGUAAGGUAAUGGCUUACCAAGGCGACGAUCCCUAGCUGGUUUGAGAGGAUGAUCAGCCACACUGGGACUGAGACACGGCCCAGACUCCUACGGGAGGCAGCAGUGGGGAAUAUUGCACAAUGGGCGCAAGCCUGAUGCAGCCAUGCCGCGUGUGUGAAGAAGGCCUUCGGGUUGUAAAGCACUUUCAGUAAGGAGGAAAGGUUAAGUGUUAAUAGCACUUAGCUGUGACGUUACUUACAGAAGAAGCACCGGCUAACUCCGUGCCAGCAGCCGCGGUAAUACGGAGGGUGCGAGCGUUAAUCGGAAUUACUGGGCGUAAAGCGUACGCAGGCGGUUUGUUAAGCGAGAUGUGAAAGCCCUGGGCUCAACCUGGGAACUGCAUUUCGAACUGGCAAACUAGAGUGUGAUAGAGGGUGGUAGAAUUUCAGGUGUAGCGGUGAAAUGCGUAGAGAUCUGAAGGAAUACCGAUGGCGAAGGCAGCCACCUGGGUCAACACUGACGCUCAUGUACGAAAGCGUGGGGGAGCAAACAGGAUUAGAUACCCUGGUAGUCCACGCCGUAAACGAUGUCUACU
rnacentral:rRNA from 1 species